GAUGAACGCUAGCUACAGGCUUAACACAUGCAAGUCGAGGGGUAACAAGAGAAAAGCUUGCUUUUCUUGUUGACGACCGGCGCACGGGUGAGUAACGCGUAUCCAACCUGCCUAUAACUAGGGAAUAACCUUGCGAAAGUAAGACUAAUGCCCUAUGAUUUCCUUUGAUGACAUCAGAUUAGGAAUAAAGAUUUAUCGGUUAUAGAUGGGGAUGCGUCUGAUUAGCUUGUUGGUGGGGUAACGGCCCACCAAGGCAACGAUCAGUAGGGGUUCUGAGAGGAAGGUCCCCCACAUUGGAACUGAGACACGGUCCAAACUCCUACGGGAGGCAGCAGUGAGGAAUAUUGGUCAAUGGGCGGAAGCCUGAACCAGCCAAGUAGCGUGCAGGAUGACGGCCCUAUGGGUUGUAAACUGCUUUUAUACAGGAAUAAAGUUAGCCACGUGUGGUUAUUUGUAGGUACUGUAUGAAUAAGGACCGGCUAAUUCCGUGCCAGCCGCCGCCGUAA
rnacentral:rRNA from 1 species